UCAAUUUCAUCUGUCGCAAAAUCAGGGCUUUCUGCUGCCGUUACGGAUCCUACAUUGUUCAAAGUUUGAUAUAAAAAGAGUAAACGACUCGUCGUUAGGAAAGGAUAGUGUACUGAGAGAAAUGUGCAGGAUAGAAAGGAGUGAGAGAAAGAGUGGUGAAAUUGGGGAGAGAAGAGAAAGAGAGAAGAAUAUGGGAAUGGUUAAAGGAAUGGAGAAGGUGAAGAGUAUUUCGAGGUCGAAAAUGAAGAUGUGGAUGAUACGAGCCACCACUUCGGUGUUGUUGUGGACAUGUGUUGUUCAAUUGACGACGAUCGGUGAGAUGUGGGGGCCUAGGGUUUUGAAAGGAUGGCCCUCUUGUUUCUCGCACGAAUCCGCUGCCGCCCUGGAGGAGAAGGUUCCAGCUGUGCCUGCUCGAGUUCUGCCACCGAAGAGAGUUUACAAGAACAAUGGCUACCUCAUGGUUUCAUGCAAUGGAGGUCUCAAUCAAAUGAGAGCAGCGAUUUGCGAUAUGGUUGCUAUUGCAAGAUAUUUGAAUGUAACACU
rnacentral:misc_RNA from 1 species